GUCGUCGACCGUGGUUCCCCUUGCACUCUCCCUCAGGAGAUUUCCCCAAGAAGGAGGGCGCCUACUUCGGGCCAGGAUAGACCUGCGGCGGCGGCGGGAACGGCCACGCACAGAGACUUGUCACUCCCUAGGAAGUCUUUUGGGUUUCCCAUCUGAGAGGCACCAUUUCAGCACAUCAGAUACCAACACUUUUUCCCUAUUUGUAUGCUUCCCUCACCAUCAAGAGCAUUCAGAUUGUCUCCUCUUUCCUACAAUCCUCAGGUUAGAAGAACUGUCACCACCCAUGCCCAUAAUUAGGGCAUAAGAUUAUAUCCUGUAUGACAAUAUAAGGGGGAACACAGAUACACAGGUGGAUUGUAUUUCCCAGCCUCCGUUGCAGUGGCCUAUACCAUAUGACUAGUUCUCACCAAUGGAAUGUGAGUGGAAGCUCCGUGUCAUUUCUUCCUCUAGGCAGCCCCAUCAUUCUUGCUGUGCUUGUCACACCCACACAGAUAACUACAAGGUUUCUA